GGCUGCCACAAUAAACAUGCACUGUACAAUGUUUCUUGUGGGUCUUCUCCCAACAGUUUGCACAUAUUUGGUCUAUGGGCAGAAAGUCACCCAGUCAUCCUCUGAACUGACAGUCGAUGAAGGCAAAGAGGCUGAGUUAUCCUGUAGUACUGACAUAGCAGCUACCUAUAUGGCUUGGUACAUACAGAAGCCUGGGCAAACACUGCAUUAUCUCAUUCAGGGUUUAACAAAAGCAGAAGACAUGACUGGAGACUUCAAGGGUCGCCUCACACACAACUAUGACAGAACUAAAAAGCAGUUUCCAAUUACUCUCUCUAAACUGAGAAUCUCUGACUCUGGAACAUAUUACUGUGCUAUGGAACCUCACAUUGAGUACAGAGCAUUAGGAGUUUGUACAAUAUCAUCAAUGUCACCAACGUGA